rfam:Schistocephalus solidus strain NST_G2 genome assembly, scaffold: SSLN_scaffold0000749
GGCCUCGUAGCUCAGGUGGGUAGAGCGUCGGCUGUACUACAGCCUUGUCCCUGUUGUUGUGGGUUCGAAUCCCACCGGGGUCA